rnacentral:rRNA from 1 species
GAAUCUUGCGCAAUGGGCGAAAGCCUGACGCAGCCAUGCCGCGUGUGUGAAGAAGGUCUUCGGAUUGUAAAGCACUUUAAGUUGGGAGGAAGGGCAGUAAGCGAAUACCUUGCUGUUUUGACGUUACCGACAGAAUAAGCACCGGCUAACUCUGUGCCAGCAGCCGCGGUAAUACAGAGGGUGCAAGCGUUAAUCGGAAUUACUGGGCGUAAAGCGGGCGUACGUGGUUCGUUAAGUUGGAUGUGAAAUCCCCGGGCUCAACCUGGGAACGGCAUCAAAAACGGGCGGGCUAGAGUAGGGAAGAGGAUGGUGGAAUUUCCGGUGUAGCGGUGAAAUGCGUAGAUAUAGGAAGGAACACCAGUGGCAAGGCGACCACCUGGGCUCAUACUGACACUGAGUUGCGAAAGCGUGGGGAGCAAACAG